AGAGUUUGAUCCUGGCUCAGGAUGAACGCUAGCGGCAGGCUUAACACAUGCAAGUCGAGGGGCAGCACGAGGUAGCAAUACUUUGGUGGCGACCGGCGCACGGGUGCGUAACGCGUAUGCAACCUACCUUUAACAGGGGCAUAACACUGAGAAAUUGGUACUAAUUCCCCAUAACAUUCGAGAAGGCAUCUUCUUGGGUUAAAAACUCCGGUGGUUAAAGAUGGGCAUGCGUUGUAUUAGCUAGUUGGUGAGGUAACGGCUCACCAAGGCAACGAUACAUAGGGGGACUGAGAGGUUAACCCCCCACAUUGGUACUGAGACACGGACCAAACUCCUACGGGAGGCAGCAGUGAGGAAUAUUGGUCAAUGGACGCAAGUCUGAACCAGCCAUGCCGCGUGCAGGAAGACGGCUCUAUGAGUUGUAAACUGCUUUUGUACUAGGGUAAACGCUUCUACGUGUAGGAGCCUGAAAGUAUAGUACGAAUAAGGAUCGGCUAACUCCGUGCCAGCAGCCGCGGUAAUACGGAGGAUCCAAGCGUUAUCCGGAUUUAUUGGGUUUAAAGGGUGCGUAGGCGGUUUGAUAAGUUAGAGGUGAAAUACCGGGGCUCAACUCCGGAACUGCCUCUAAUACUGUUGAACUAGAGAGUAGUUGCGGUAGGCGGAAUGUAUGGUGUAGCGGUGAAAUGCUUAGAGAUCAUACAGAACACCGAUUGCGAAGGCAGCUUACCAAACUAUAUCUGACGUUGAGGCACGAAAGCGUGGGGAGCAAACAGGAUUAGAUACCCUGGUAGUCCACGCAGUAAACGAUGAUAACUCGUUGUCGGCGAUACACAGUCGGUGACUAAGCGAAAGCGAUAAGUUAUCCACCUGGGGAGUACGUUCGCAAGAAUGAAACUCAAAGGAAUUGACGGGGGCCCGCACAAGCGGAGGAACAUGUG
rnacentral:rRNA from 1 species